rnacentral:rRNA from 1 species
UACGGAGGGUGCAAGCGUUGCUCGGAAUCACUGGGCGUAAAGCGACCGCAGGCGGCCUGACAAGUCGGAUGUGAAAGCCCUGGGCUCAACUCAGGAAUUGCAUUCGAAACUGGUAGGCUUGAGUACGGGAGAGGGGGGUGGAAUUCCUGGUGUAGGGGUGAAAUUCGUUGAUAUCAGGAGGAACACCGGCGGCGAAGGCGGCCCCCUGGCCCGCAACUGACGCUCAUGGUCGAAAGCGUGGGGAGCAAACAGG